GCUGGAAGCUUCUGCGCGUGCGCGCAAGUCACCCUGGGGCGCACGCGCCCAGGUCUGCACGCCCAUGCGUGGUGCGUCCUCUUGGCUCACUGCCAUGCGCGCAUGCGCCACACUGGCUCAAGUCCAUGCGCGCGUGCGCCACGUCACCUGUGAGCCUCUACGAGCACGCCACACAGUCGCGCCGUUUUGGCUCACAGCGGUGCGCUGCGCACGUCACAUCAGACCCCCAUGCACCAUGCGCAACCGCGCGCCUCCGUGCCAUGUGUACUCGCGCGCGCAUGCGCAUGACUGCAACGUCAUGCGCCGCAUCACCUACCACUUGGUCCUUGCAACCCUUGUGCUCCACCACGCGCACACAGUCAAAAAUACAAAGGCGGCUCUCAAGCGGCUCACGGCGAUGCGAGCGUGCGAAGUGCGCCAUCAAAGCGCCACAUUGCGCCUCAUCGCCCACGCCACGCGCGCGCGCGUGUGCGAGUGCGAGUUAGGGUGCUCCACACCCUUCGCGAGGACACUAG
rnacentral:lncRNA from 1 species